GCGGAGCCAGUCAGAGCCUUUCCCUGGGAUUUCCGAAACUGGAACUGACCAAUGGAAGUCAGUCCACUGCUGGUGAAGGCGGGGCUAACAGCCGUGAGAGACGUCGCAGGACGCCCUCCUGCUGCCUGUGGUGAGAGCAAAGAGCAGAGGUGAAGAGAGGGCGCUGGCGGUGCCUGAGCUGCUGCUUUGAGGGGUCCUGAGGCUUGGCUGGAGCCCUUGCCUUCCCCGUGCACGGUUAGGUUAUUAAACACUUUAUUGUACUUUCUGAACCAUCCGGUGUCCCGUGUGUGUGUGUGUGUGUGUGUGUGUGUGUGUGUGUAAGCUGGCUUGGAUCCUGUGUAACCCAGAGAUGUCUAACUUGUUCAGAAAUUCUGGGCAUGUCGCCCUCACAGUCCCUCAGUUUCCUGAUUUAUAAAAUGGUAAAAAUUGGGAUAAAAAUAUAUGGACUAGCUGUAGGGUAACUGAGCAGUGUAAGCGACAUAACAUACAAGAAAACCUGGCACCGUGCCUUGUCAGGAGCGGAGCUUAAGAAAUAUGCCUUUCUUUCCUUUUUGGCUUAAACGCCGUCCACGGUGCUAUGUUUCUCAAGCUCACAUUUAUUGAGCCAGGCGUUGUACUUGGUGCUCGGAAUGCAUAACCUCGCUGAGCCCCCAUAGUGGCUGCUGUGAUCUCCCUCUGACAGAUGUAAAAGCCAUCAUAAUGGGAACGGAUAAGGACACGGUGAACUUGCUCACUGGCGUUAGAAGCCGCCAAGCCCACCGAAAUCUCACCCGCUUUGAGCCUGACAGGAGGCUGAGGCUGAAAAAGGAACUGGUUCCCAGACAGCGUGGUUGAGAUACCCACGAAUGGGCUGUCGGAGGAGGUGAAGGGGACCUGGGGCAGGAACCACUUGAAGCCCCCUCAUUUCUAGCAGCCCAGCCUCACUCCCUCGUCCUGGACAAGGAGGAGAGACAAGAAGCUCCCUUCAGCUGUCCUCAGCCCCGGCUCCCUAAUGGUGGCGAGGCUGGUGACACUGUCCUGGGUAGCUCACUAGGACCUCAUGUAAUGCCUGCCUGCAUGGGUGGCCACUUACUUGUCCCAGGCUUGCUGCUCAGGGGUCUUGCUGUUCCCCGAGCUAAAUCCUUGGCCAGGACCUCACCCACCCUUUUGGGUGCUUAGAGCUUCCACAGUCAGCCCCAGCUUUCUUGGUGCAAAUCUGAACUCAUGGCAUCCGUUGAAUGAAAGCCAUCUCCUUGUGUUGCUUCCUGUAUUAUGCAACGGGCAGUGACAGGCUUGUCCUUUCUGCUCUUUUCUGGGAGGACUUAUUAGUCCCUCCCCCCCCUUCCUUCCUUCCUGUCUUUCUUCCUUUUUAGAAAUGAAGUAGCAUUUCAGCAGCCUCUGGGUGAAACACCUGAGCUGAGCAGAGUGGC
rnacentral:lncRNA from 1 species